rnacentral:rRNA from 1 species
GAUGAACGCUGGCGGCGUGCCUAAUAGAUGCAAGUCGAGCGAACAGACGAGGAGCUUGCUCCUCUGACGUUAGCGGCGGACGGGUGAGUAACACGUGGAUAACCUACCUAUAAGACUGGGAUAACUUCGGGAAACCGGAGCUAAUACCGGAUAAUAUAUUGAACCGCAUGGUUCAAUAGUGAAAGACGGUUUUGCUGUCACUUAUAGAUGGAUCCGCGCCGCAUUAGCUAGUUGGUAAGGUAACGGCUUACCAAGGCGACGAUGCGUAGCCGACCUGAGAGGGUGAUCGGCCACACUGGAACUGAGACACGGUCCAGACUCCUACGGGAGGCAGCAGUAGGGAAUCUUCCGCAAAGGGCGAAAGCCUGACGGAGCAACGCCGCGUGAGUGAUGAAGGUCUUCGGAUCGUAAAACUCUGUUAUUAGGGAAGAACAAAUGUGUAAGUAACUAUGCACGUCUUGACGGUACCUAAUCAGAAAGCCACGGCUAACUACGUG